GCAAGUGUCAACAAAUUGAACAUUUAUCUAAUGUUUGUAAAGCCAUACAGAUAAAAGUGCUGCACUUAUGGAUUUUGUGGAUCUUAUGGUACUUGGCGAUUCAACACUUUACACGCAGAACUACAUAUUUACAACUUACAUUUUAUGACAAAUGCACAGCCGACAGACGAUCAUUACAAGUUCAAGGAUCAGACGCUCUUCAUUUCCGAAUUACGGGAGACAGACACAGGGAUUUUCUCUUGGGGGGUUGACGUGAAUUUUCACACGGUCCUCAAACUUGUGAUUAAAGACUGUACUAUGCCACAGGUGGUUGGCUUCGGACAACCUUUGAAAUUGAAGGUUCCCCACGAGGCAUCCAUCCUAGAGUUUGUCCAUCCAUCUUCCCCGAAUAGAGGGGAGGUUCUAUGGAACACCUCCAGUUCCUAUGACGAUGUUUCCAAGGGUGUUAUUCAGGAGUCCUACUGGAUGGUUCGUGCGGCAACCACCGCUGACAUGGGUUCUUACACUUUCCGGAAACAAAGUGGGGCAGAGGUCUCGAAAACACAGGUGACCAUUACAGCCAAUGUUCAGGCUUUCAAUAUGGAUGAGGAACUGUAUGGAAGUGGCAUCUGGGGAACCAAUCUUCAGAUCCCUGACCAUGAAAUAUCGGUGGUUUUCAGUCCACAACCAGGCGAGGAAUACCGGAUUGUUAGCGGAGGGACACAAACGGACGAGGGAAAACGGCUCUUUGAGGAUCGGAUUCGGUUGCGAGGCAGCCCGAAUGCAUUCAUCCUCGAGCUGGAUGAUAUACAGAGGAGUGAUGCAGGCAGAUACCAGUUUUUUGACAAGGAUGGAAUUCUGGUUGCUCUGAGGAUUCUACGUACAUACCAGCAGACCUACUACAUGUAUCUUUUGGCACUGAUCCCUGUAGUGCUCCUCAUACUGCUCGGCGUGUGUGUGUGGAAGUGCUGCUGUAACAAAGGCAAAAGCCGCACCCCCUCUGCCCCAGCAGCUACGGCUCGCCAGUGCCAUGCAGGUGUGCUUUUUUGUUGUUUAACUUGA
rnacentral:lncRNA from 1 species